rnacentral:rRNA from 1 species
UACUUGGAGGUUGUGCCCUUGAGGCGUGGCUUCCGGAGCUAACGCGUUAAGUAGACCGCCUGGGGAGUACGGCCGCAAGGUUAAAACUCAAAUGAAUUGACGGGGGCCCGCACAAGCGGUGGAGCAUGUGGUUUAAUUCGAUGCAACGCGAAGAACCUUACCUGGUCUUGACAUCCACAGAACUUUCCAGAGAUGGAUUGGUGCCUUCGGGAACUGUGAGACAGGUGCUGCAUGGCUGUCGUCAGCUCGUGUUGUGAAAUGUUGGGUUAAGUCCCGCAACGAGCGCAACCCUUAUCCUUUGUUGCCAGCGGUUAGGCCGGGAACUCAAAGGAGACUGCCAGUGAUAAACUGGAGGAAGGUGGGGAUGACGUCAAGUCAUCAUGGCCCUUACGACCAGGGCUACACACGUGCUACAAUGGCGCAUACAAAGAGAAGCGACCUCGCGAGAGCAAGCGGACCUCAUAAAGUGCGUCGUAGUCCGGAUUGGAGUCUGCAACUCGACUCCAUGAAGUCGGAAUCGCUAGUAAUCGUGGAUCAGAAUGCCACGGUGAAUACGUUCCCGGGCCUUGUACACACCGCCCGUCACACCAUGGGAGUGGGUUGCAAAAGAAGUAGGUAGCUUAACCUUCGGGAGGGCGCUUACCACUUUGUGAUUCAUGACUGGGGUGAAGUCGUAACAAGGUAACCGUAGGGGAACCUGC